rnacentral:lncRNA from 1 species
GGACAUCUGAGCUGGAAGUGCAAAUACAGAUGACAGAACAAUUUGUUGAUUGGUACAUCAUUCUAGAUUCCAAGAAACCAAAGCAAGAGGCAUGAAGUUCUCACCAAAUUGAGGUACUCUCUGGCAUCCUUCUUGGAAAUCUCAGUGUGGAACAAGCAGACAGACCUUGACUGUCUAAUAAAACUGAAAGGCACUUGCUUCAUUUCGAUCCAUUUUGAUGGAAGUCUCUGUGUGAAAGAUGCAAGCAACGCAGUGCAUUCUGCGAUCACAGCUGUCAGGAAGAGCAACCACAAUCUCUCGUCUAAGAAUCAUCAUCUGUUUUUGUGCUGUUACUGCUUGCCUCCCCUUUUGUUCCAGGUGAGUUGUUAAUUUACUCACAGAGCUCAAAGACCAGCUACGUGCUCAGCUGUUUGUUGGUGGUGGGUUGAUUUUUUUUUUAUUGUUGUUUUU